rnacentral:rRNA from 1 species
GUCUCGUUGGUGACAGCGGAGGGAUCAUUACCGAGUUUCAACUCCCAAACCCCUGUGAACAUACCUUAAUGUUGCCUCGGCGGAUCAGCCCGCGCCCCGUAAAACGGGACGGCCCGCCAGAGGACCCAAACUCUAAUGUUUCUUAUUGUAACUUCUGAGUAAAACAAACAAAUAAAUCAAAACUUUCAACAACGGAUCUCUUGGUUCUGGCAUCGAUGAAGAACGCAGCAAAAUGCGAUAAGUAAUGUGAAUUGCAGAAUUCAGUGAAUCAUCGAAUCUUUGAACGCACAUUGCGCCCGCUGGUAUUCCGGCGGGCAUGCCUGUUCGAGCGUCAUUUCAACCCUCAAGCCCCCGGGUUUGGUGUUGGGGAUCGGCUCUGCCUUCUGGCGGUGCCGCCCCCGAAAUACAUUGGCGGUCUCGCUGCAGCCUCCAUUGCGUAGUAGCUAACACCUCGCAACUGGAACGCGGCGCGGCCAUGCCGUAAAACCCCAACUUCUGAAUGUUGACCUCGGAUCAGGUAGGAAUACCCGCUGAACUUAAGCAUAUCAUA